rnacentral:rRNA from 1 species
UACGGGGGGGGCAAGCGUUGUUCGGAAUUACUGGGCGUAAAGGGCUCGUAGGUGGCCAACUAAGUCAGACGUGAAAUCCCCCGGCUUAACCGGGGAAUUGCAUCUGAUACUGGUUGGCUUGAGUUCGGGAGAGGGAUGCGGAAUUCCAGGUGUAGCGGUGAAAUGCGUAGAUAUCUGGAGGAACACCGGUGGCGAAGGCGGCAUCCUGGACCGACACUGACGCUGAGGAGCGAAAGCCAGGGGAGCAAACGGG